GUCGUUUUGCUCGAGUAGCGUGUGCUCUUCUUAAGUUUCGUUUUUAAUAAUAUUGUUUAAUUUAUUUUUAAUAAAAUAUGUUCGAUAAUAUAUUGUUAAAUACAAUUACACCCUUAGGAAAUAUGAAUGAGCUCACCAACUGGGAGAAUCGACCUUUCCAGACAAUAUGGCCUGAGAAGAAACAACUUUCGAAUAAAGAUGCCUUGGUUACCAAGAUGGUCCGAAAGAA